rnacentral:tRNA from 1 species
GGAUGUGGUGUUUAAUGGUAGCAUUCGUGGUUUGGGACCAUGCGGAGUGAGUUCGAAUCUCGCUAUCC